rnacentral:rRNA from 1 species
GACGAACGCUGGCGGCGUGCCUAAUACAUGCAAGUCGAACGCAGUGGGGACGGGUGAGUAACACGUGGGUAACCUCCCAUCAGAGGGGAUAACACUUGGAAACAGGUGCUAAACCGAUACUGAUGGAUGGACCCGCGGUGCAUUAGCUAGUUGGUGAGGUAACGGCUCACCAAGGCCACGAUGCAUAGCCGACCUGAGGGGGUGAUCGGCCCCACUGGGACUGAGACACGGCCCAGACUCCUUCGGGAGGCCGCAGUAGGGGAUCUUUGGCAAUGGAAGGAAGUCUGACCGAGCAACGCCGCGGGAGUGAAGAAGGUUUUCGGAUCGGAAAGCUCUGUUGGUAAGGAAGCGGUACUUAACCAGAAAGGGACGGCUAACUACGUGCCAGCAGCCGCGGUAAUAC